rnacentral:lncRNA from 1 species
ACGUCACUGACUCGAUGGACAUGAGUGUGAGUAAACUCUGGGAGUUGGUGGUGGACAGGGAGGCCCAGUGUGCUGCAGUCCAUGGGGUCUCAAAGAGCUGAACACGACUGAGUGACUGAACUGAACUGAUCUGAGACUUAUGAUCACAUUUAUUUCUCUUUUUAAAAUGUCUAUAUUAAUUUUUUGAGUAUGGAGAAAAGUAAGCCUGCCUCUCAUAUGUCUCCCAGUUCCUGGUUUUUUCCCUUUUCUCUUUUUCUGGCAGCAAAAAUGGCCCGAGAUACUGCUCCAACUUUUCAAAGCAGCUUACUACACCCUUCUUAUAGUGUUGCAGCAAGAAAUGAGUGGAAUGUGUCAUAUAGUCCAAUAAAUGAUCUCUCUUUCCAGGAGGGAAAUGAUCACCCUCUCCUCUCUGAAAAUCAUCUCGUUUUAUUAGCAGCCUCAUCACACUGCUCAUGAUGACUUUUCUGUCAAUGAAAGCUUCAAUUCUGUUAUUAUAUACCAAGAACUUCUAUUGUAUACCAAGCACUCUAUAUAAAAGGAACCAGAGAAUAUAAAAGACUAAAAGCAAAAACAGCCGCCUGCCUUCAUAUAGUGUAGCAUCGAAUGGGGGAGACAGGCACUAAGCCAGUAAUCACACUCAUGAAAGUACCAUUCAUUACUCACCUAAUGGUGGCCCAGGACCACCUAUACUCCCAUCGCACAGUCUUCCCUUGUGCUUUGUCUUUCAGUGGCAGGAAAAAAGAGGGCGCUCCACAGCUUCCUCCCAAGAGAGGCUAAUAGUCUUUCUAUCACUAUUUGCACUUUAUCCCUGUUUACUGUAGUCAGCACAAAAGGUCCUGGUUUCAGGAGAUCCACAAACACAAACCGUAACCCCAAAAGGUUCCAGCCCCCACCCCAUCUCCUACUCCUCAAACUCUUCUGCUGUCCCCUCAUGAAUACACAGUCCAGUAUUAUUAACACCCCAAAUAAAUAAAUUCAGUCCAGCUCAGUCACUCAGUCCUGUCCGACUUUUUGUGACCCCAUGGACUGCAGCACCACAGGCCUGCCUGUCCAUCACCAACUCCCAGAGCCUACACAAACCCAUGUCCAUGGAGACAGUCAUACUGUCCAACCAUCUCAUCCUCUGUUGUCCUCUUCUUCUCCUGCCUUCAAUAUU